AGGGGUUUAAGUUAGUAAUAAAACUAAAAGCCUUCAAAGCUUUAAUCGGAUAGGCCCAACCCCUA
rnacentral:tRNA from 1 species